UACGUAGGGGGCAAGCGUUGUCCGGAAUCAUUGGGCGUAAAGAGCGUGUAGGCGGCCCGGUAAGUCCGCCGUGAAAGUCCAGGGCUCAACCCUGGAAUGCCGGUGGAUACUGUCGGGCUAGAGUCCGGAAGGGGCGAGUGGAAUUCCCGGUGUAGCGGUGAAAUGCGCAGAUAUCAGGAGGAACACCGGUGGCGAAGGCGGGUCUCUGGGCCGUAACUGACGCUGAGGAGCGAAAGCAUGGGGAGCGAACAGG
rnacentral:rRNA from 1 species